UACGAAGGGGGGCUAGCGUUGCUCGGAAUGACUGGGCGUAAAGGGCGCGUAGGCGGCUCAUACAGUCAGAUGUGAAAUUCCUGGGCUUAACCUGGGGGCUGCAUUUGGUACGUGUGGGCUUGAGUGGGGAAGAGGGUCGUGGAAUUCCCAGUGUAGAGGUGAAAUUCGUAGAUAUUGGGAAGAACACCGGUGGCGAAGGCGGCGACCUGGUCCUUGACUGACGCUGAGGCGCGAAAGCGUGGGGAGCAAACAGG
rnacentral:rRNA from 1 species